UACGUAGGGGGCAAGCGUUGUCCGGAUUUAUUGGGCGUAAAGAGCGUGUAGGCGGUUUGGUAGGUCUGCUGUGAAAACUCGAGGCUCAACCUCGAGACGCCGGUGGAAACCAUCAGGCUAGAGUCCGGAAGAGGAGAGUGGAAUUCCUGGUGUAGCGGUGAAAUGCGCAGAUAUCAGGAAGAACACCCGUGGCGAAGGCAGCUCCCUGGGACGGUACUGACGCUGAGACGCGAAAGCGUGGGGAGCGAACAGG
rnacentral:rRNA from 1 species